AGGGUAGUCCCCAGUAUCCCUCACUUACGGUCUGGGAGCAGAGCAGGACAGUUCAACAUUAUGAUUAUUUAGUUUAAAACCAACAUUAGUUUCAUUCGUUUUCCACAAAACUGUGACGACAGCAGCCUGAACUCUGGGCCAAGUCGGGUCAAAACCGUAGACCUGUAUUGAAACUGAAACUAAACGAACUGCGGGGAACUUUCUACAUUCACUGGAAACUUGCUUAAUUUUGCAGCUGCAGCGGACAAGACAAGACAGGCAGGUCCAGACCAGUACACGAGGAAACUGAAAAAAUAACAAAAAAGCAUUUAUAUUCCUAGUUGAGUUCAGUUUGUGGAGGUUUUGUGGCAGUGACAGGAUUAUUUCAGCGUCCACGAUGGCUUGGCAGGGUACCAUCGUUUUCUUUGACCUUGAGACCACAGGAUUAGACGCUAAAUCGUGUCACAUCGUCCAGUUGGGGGCCAGCUGUGAAAACCAUACCAUCUUCAACCGCUACAUCCUCCCCGGCAUCCCCAUCGAAUACGGAGCGACAGAAGUGAACGGCCUCACCGUCAGUUAUGGCCAGCUGUUACUCCACGGAGAGCCUUUUGCUGAUGGCGUGUACCUGAUAUUGCUGAUGGGGCUGCUCGAAGACUACUUUGUCCCUCUGUUCAACUUCUUCCUCACUCCUGAGAGCUUCGAACGGAAGGUCCACAAUGUGGCGUUUGCCUUUGAGCUGAUGCAGGAUGGAGGCCUGAAGAAACCCAAAGCCAGACCAGAAGAUGGCUUGGCAGGGUACCAUCGUUUUCUUUGACCUUGAGACCACAGGAUUAGUUUGCUGAUGGCGUGUAUCUGAUAUUGCUGAUGGGGCCGCUCGAAGACUACUUUGUCCCUCUGUUCAACUUCUUCCUCACUCCUGAGAGCUUCGAACAGAAGAUCCACAAUGUGGCGUUUGCCUUUGAGCUGAUGCAGGAUGGAGGCCUGAAGAAACCCAAAGCCAGACCAGAAGAUGGCUCGGCAGGGUACCAUCGUUUUCUUUCAACUUGAGACCACAGGAUUCGACACUACAUCGUGUCACAUCGUCCAGUUGGCGGCCAGCUGUAAAAAUACCAUCUUCAACCGCCACAUCCUCCCCCACAUCCCCAUCGGACGCAGAGCUACAGAAGUGAACAGCUUCACCUUCAGAUAUGGCCAGCUGUUCCUCCACGAAGAGCCUGUGAGCACUAUGACACUUUACUAUUCUUUAACAACUUUCAUCAACUACCUUGGCAGCUUCCCUGGCCCCGUGCUGCUGGCGGCCCACAGCUCAAGGAGAUUUCAUGGAAGGGUGCUCAUGAGAGUGCUGAAGAAGUGCUCCCUCUUUGAGCUGUUCAAAAAGGUGGUGUCUGGGUUUGUGGAUACCUUACCACUGAGCAAGAAGCUCUAUCCUCAACUGAAACCUUGUAAUCUGCAGCAUCUGGUCCAACACUUCCUGAGAAGGCAAUACAAUGCCCAUAAUGCAGUGGAGAAGGCCAAACAGCUGGAAGAGCUGUUCAAUUAUUGGGAUCCCGACAAUGAUGACAUCGAGGAUGUCACCGACUGGAUUUAAUCUACAGAACAACAUUAAAAUAUUAAAUACGAAAGUUAAUAUGUGUUGUUUUGUGUUCUCAUCAUGUACCCACAGGUGGUUGUACAGAUCGACAUAACAAAAAAAAACUUGUGAUUUAUGACAUAAUGCUUGUGACACCUCGAACUCCAUGUUAAAUAAUGCGCAUACUUUUUGAUGUUCUGUGUUCUGCUCAAAGUGUUUGUUUUUGUAUUUCCUUUAAAUUGAAGCAUAAUGUUUAAAUUACCAUUAAAUUUUAAUUUGACUCUUCUAUACAAUUUCUUCAACUCAUUUCUAGCCAUCAUUCAGGGAGAAAUGUCUACUCCUUGAAGGCAUGGCAUUCUUUGUUUUUCAAACAUCAUAUAUCAUUAUAUUCAUUAUCUUCCCUACCUGUAGUAAUGAACUUGUAAACAACUAUAUUCAGUGGCAUUAUAUCCACCAACAACAUCAUUGUUAGAGAUAUACACUCAGUGGUGUUAAGUAACUAAGUAGAUUUACUCAAGUAAUAAGAACAAUUUUGAGAUACUUGU